rnacentral:rRNA from 1 species
UGGAGGGCAAGUCUGGUCCCAGCAGCCGCGGUAAUUCCAGCUCCAAUAGCGUAUAUUAAAGUUGUUGUGGUUAAAAAGCUCGUAGUUGAACCUUGGGCCUGGCUGGCCGGUCCGCCUCACCGCGUGUACUGGUCCGGCCGGGCCUUUCCCUCUGUGGAACCCCAUGCCCUUCACUGGGUGUGGCGGGGAAACAGGACUUUUACUGUGAAAAAAUUAGAGUGCUCCAGGCAGGCCUAUGCUCGAAUACAUUAGCAUGGAAUAAUAGAAUAGGACGUGUGGUUCUAUUUUGUUGGUUUCUAGGACCGCCGUAAUGAUUAAUAGGGACAGUCGGGGGCAUCAGUAUUCAAUUGUCAGAGGUGAAAUUCUUGGAUUUAUUGAAGACUAACUACUGCGAAAGCAUUUGCCAAGGAUGUUUUCAUUAAUCAGGAACGAAAGUUAGGGGAUCGAAGACGAUCAGAUACCGUCGUAGUCUUAACCAUAAACUAUGCCGACUAGGGAUCGGACGGUGUUAUUUUUUGACCCGUUCGGCGCCUUACGGGAAAC